rnacentral:rRNA from 1 species
UAGUCCACGCCGUAAACGAUGGAUACUAGCUGUUCGGUUUUCGGACUGAGUGGCUAAGCGAAAGUGAUAAGUAUCCCACCUGGGGAGUACGUUCGCAAGAAUGAAACUCAAAGGAAUUGACGGGGGCCCGCACAAGCGGUGGAGCAUGUGGUUUAAUUCGAUGAUACGCGAGGAACCUUACCAGGGCUUAAAUGUAAGUUGCAUGGGGCAGAGACGCCCCUUUCUUCGGACCACUUACAAGGUGCUGCAUGGUUGUCGUCAGCUCGUGCCGUGAGGUGUCAGGUUAAGUCCUAUAACGAGCGCAACCCCUACCGUUAGUUGCCAGCAUUUAAAGAUGGGGACUCUAGCGGGACUGCCGGUGCAAACCGAGAGGAAGGUGGGGACGACGUCAAAUCAUCACGGCCCUUACGUCCUGGGCCACACACGUGCUACAAUGGCCGGUACAGAGGGAAGCCACCACGCAAGUGGGCGCGGAUCUAUAAAACCGGUCACAGUUCGGAUCGGGGUCUGCAACUCGA